rnacentral:ncRNA from 2 species
GGCAGCGCGCAAGCGCUCCAAGAGGGAAGGGGGUGCAAGUCCCCCGCAGCUUCCACUACUGUAAGCGACGACGAGAGGACAUCAGGCCACUGUCCCGGCAGGACGCCGGAGCGGGAAGGCGUCCUCGAGGAGGAAUCGCAAGCCAGGAGACCUGCC